rnacentral:rRNA from 1 species
GACGAACGCUGGCGGCGUGCUUAACACAUGCAAGUCGAACGAUGAAGCCUUAGCUUGCUUUGGUGGAUUAGUGGCGAACGGGUGAGUAACACGUGAGCAACGUGCCCAGGACUCUGGAAUAACCGCGGGAAACCGUGGCUAAUACCGGAUAGGUGCCGAGGCCGCAUGGUCUUCGGUUGGAAAGUUUUUGCGGUUCUGGAUCGGCUCACGGCCUAUCAGCUUGUUGGUGGGGUAAUGGCCUACCAAGGCGACGACGGGUAGCCGGCCUGAGAGAGUGACCGGCCACACUGGGACUGAGACACGGCCCAGACUCCUACGGGAGGCAGCAGUGGGGAAUAUUGCACAAUGGGCGCAAGCCUGAUGCAGCAACGCCGCGUGGGGGAUGACGGCCUUCGGGUUGUAAACCUCUUUUAGUAGGGAAGAAGCGCAAGUGACGGUACCUGCAGAAAAAGCACCGGCUAACUACGUG